UACAGGGGGGGGCAAGCGUUUGUUCGGAAUUACUGGGCGUAAAGGGUCAGUAGGCGGCCAACUAAGUCCGACGUGAAAUCCCAAAGCUUAACUUUGGAACUGCGUCGGAUACUGGAUGGCUUGAAUUCGGGAGAGGGAUGCAGAAUUCCAGGUGUAGCGGUGAAAUGCGUAGAUAUCUGGAGGAAUACCGGUGGCGAAGGCGGCUGACUGGACACAUAUUGACGCUGAGGCUCGAAAGCAUGGGGAGCAAACAGGG
rnacentral:rRNA from 1 species